rnacentral:rRNA from 1 species
CAAUAGCGUAUAUUAAAGUUGUUGCGGUUAAAAAGCUCGUAGUUGGAUUUCUGCCGAGGACGACCGGUCCGCCCUCUGGGUGAGUAUCUGGCUCGGCCUGGGCAUCUUCUUGGAGAACGUAGCUGCACUUGACUGUGUGGUGCGGUAUCCAGGACUUUUACUUUGAGGAAAUUAGAGUGUUUCAAGCAGGCUUACGCCUUGAAUACAUUAGCAUGGAAUAAUAAGAUAGGACCUCGGUUCUAUUUUGUUGGUUUCUAGAGCUGAGGUAAUGAUUAAUAGGGAUAGUUGGGGGCAUUAGUACUUAACUGUCAGAGGUGAAAUUCUCGGAUUUGUUAAAGACUAACUUAUGCGAAAGCAUUUGCCAAGGAUGUUUUCAUUAA